rnacentral:lncRNA from 1 species
CAGUAUAUGCGGUAAAGUCUGAAGGCCAUUUUCAAAUGGGUGACAUUAGAAUCAAGCCUCUUGAAGUAAAGCAAACAGAGAAGGAGUGAACAAAGCUGGUUUUAGAAUGGUAAAUUGUCUCCUAACCUGGAACUUCUUUCUGCCCGUGCAUACCCACAGCAUAUCACACCUGACCCCAAAGAUUCUGCUUUCCCUAGUGAGGCCAGCCUGCCUUAAAACACUGACUGUCCAAGGAACAUAUUGGCCCCUCAGAUGGAUGAGAAGUUCAGGUGAAGAAACUAGGAAACCACAAAGAGCAGUGAUGUUUGCAGGGCUGAAGCACACUGAGGAUUCUUCCCAUCCAGGGACCAAAGUGUCUGAUACGAUGGAUGGACUGGUUUCCUGGAUUGCCAAAGGUUUUCUGUUCCUUCAGAAUAAGACAAUGCAUGAGAUUAUGCAAGUUUUAUAGGGACAGUACAGCCAGAAGAAGAAGGUUGUCUGCUUCCAGUAUGGGUGCCAGUCUCUGGGAGGAGGGCUUGGCAAGUGCAUCAGUACUAAAAACAGAUCUGGGCCAGGGAUGACCUGAAAUGAGUGAUUAAUUAUCUGGCUGUGAUGGCUUUAAGCAAAUCAGCAAUUAUUUGGUGCUUCUCCCUUCAAGAGGUGGAGCUUUACUGUGCUCAACUGGAGUGUGGUUUGGACUUAGUGAAUCACUUCUACAGACGGAACCCAGAGCACUGAUCAUGGUCUAUCACCUAAGAGAUGAAUUUAUAAUUUUGUGGCUCAUGUUUUGGGCUCUCUCUCCAAUCACUGGCUCUCAGGGAGGCAAGCUGCCAUGUUGUGAAUAGCCCAGUGGAGUGACCUGCAGGACAAGGAACUUAGAUAUUCAGCCAACAGAUGGUGAAGAACUGAGGCCUACCUGCAACAACAUGAGUGAGCUUCGUAGCAGGUCCUCCGGCUCCACAUGACUGUAGGUCUGGCCAGAAGCUGGACUAUGACCGCUGAGCAAUCCUGAGCCAGAGCUGUCCAUCUAAGCUGCUCUCAGACCCUAACCCAUAGAAUCUGUGACAUAAUCAAUAUUGUAUUAAGAUGCUAAGAUUGGGAGUAAUUUUUACAUAUCUAUAGACAACUAAUAUACUGACCUAAGUUAUCCAGGAAAGGAAACAUGUAACAGGAACUGAAAGAAGGCAGCAUUUUUUGUAAUGUUGAUUUUUUUCACCUCCUUGAUCGGUUUAGUCUUAUCACAAAGUAUGAACAUUCACUUCCUAGAAGAGGUCCUUUUCAGCCUGCAAUUACAUAAAGACCCCCGGGAGUAUCUUUAUCCAUGCCCCAUACAGAGUUUGAUAUGGGUACAUAAGACACAUUUUCUACUCCAUUUACUCUAUUUAUUGAAAACUCAGAGGCCCAAACCAUACUCAUCUUAGUAAUUAUUUUCCCAUUGUGCCAUUAAUAAAGGAAAAAAGUACUUGCUGGUCUGGGAGAAG